rnacentral:rRNA from 1 species
CAGUAGCCAUGGGAAAACGUAGGGUGCAAGCGUUAAUCGGAAUUACUGGGCGUAAAGCGUGCGCAGGCGGUUAUAUAAGACAGAUGUGAAAUCCCCGGGCUCAACCUGGGAACUGCAUUUGUGACUGUAUAGCUAGAGUACGGCAGAGGGGGAUGGAAUUCCGCGUGUAGCAGUGAAAUGCGUAGAUAUGCGGAGGAACACCGAUGGCGAAGGCAAUCCCCUGGGCCUGUACUGACGCUCAUGCACGAAAGCGUGGGGAGCAAACAGGAUUAGAUACCCCAGUAGUCCCUGUCUCUUAUAC